AUGCUGCUUCAACAUCUAUCAUAUAAUGAAAUGCAUCCUCCUUCUGUCUACUUCUCAGGCCCACUGUCAAUGAAAAGCUCUGUGAGCAAGUGUGACUCUGACCCCAAAGUUAGAGAGACCUACAACCCUGGCGUCCAAUCAGAGGACAGGAGGAAGCGUCCUCUGCAGUCCAGCUGUGAAGGCGCUCCCCUGGAAACUCGACGUCGCCUUGAAGAGUUCCGCCAGAGGGAGGAGAGCAUGUCAGCCUCCUCAGACCUAGGAAGUGACAGCGAUGGGGAGGAGGAGGAGAGGGAGUGGGAGCAAGGUGGCGACAGUGGGCGGGUCAAACGAGAGGAGGGGCUAUCCAAACGGGGAAGGGCAACUCCUACGAGGAGGGAGACGGGAGGCAGGUUGCACAACGGCCGAGCGAUCAUCCAGCACCUGAAGAGUGUGGUGUCCUCGCCCCUCUCUGGCCCCCCCAGCAUCAAGACUGAACACGAGGCCCUGGUCACAGGCAGCCGCUGGACACACACUCACGCUUCGCACACCCAGCCUCCCCCCUCACACACACACACACCCUCCGGCAGCCUGAACGGCGACAGCCCACCCACGCCUAUUCCGGACUCCUCCUCCAGCAGUGAGGCCCCUCCCAAAGGUCUCUUCACCCCGCCCUCCCCAGCCAUGUCUCCUCCCAUGUCUGGCUCGUCCCCUUUGCCCCAUGAGGACCGGGGCAUGUCUGGUGGCCGUGGGGGCGGGCCUGACUUUGAGCUCCUCCAGAGACUGGCUGCAGGGGGCGCGGCAGGACGGGUGCUGUUCCACCCCCUGGCCCUUGGCCCCCAGGGGCCCCAGAGUCUGUACGCGCCCAGCACCAUCCGCUACGCUCCCCCAGAGAUGCCCCCCACCCACCCCGGCACUGAGGGGCUGCGCUCCGACCACCACAAGGGUCCCCCGGCCUUUUUCCCCCACCUCCAGAGGCUGGCCGGCCUGCCCCCAUUCAGUGGGUUCUCAGACAACCCUUUCAACCCCUUCUGUAUGAACGGACUAAGGGGGGGCGCAGGGUCAGAGGAGGACUGA
rnacentral:lncRNA from 1 species